ensembl:lncRNA
AUUUGAAAUAGCUCAACUGGAAUUCCAUCACCUCCACUAGCUUUGUUUGUAGUGAUGCUUUCUAAGGCCCACUUGACUUCACAUUCCAGGAUGUCUGGCUCUAGGUUGACACAGAGCCCCUGUUUGGGUUUUCUGAGACAUACAGCAAAUUCCCAUUGGCUAUCUAGUUUACAUAUGGUAAGGUCUACUACAGGAUAGUGAACAUCGUUCCCUGUGCCAUACAACAGAACCUUGUUUAUCCAUUCUACAUGUAAUAGUUUGCAUCUGCUAACCCCCGAAUCCAUCUCUCUCCCAGCCCUGCCCCUUGACAAGUACAAGUCUGUUCUCUAUGUCUGUGAGUCUCAACACCAUUAUCUUUGCCAAAUUCUAUUUGUUAGAAGCAAGUCACUAAAAAUAGAAUCCAUUCAAAGGUAGGG